CAACUUAAGUACUUUUAUUUUUCAGUUAAAUUGGCAGAAAACAUGAAGGCAUCUUCCUAAAAAAUAAAAGCUCUGUAAUGCGCUGCCUGAUACUUAACUACUUGAGCCAGUUGGGAAAAGACUCUACAACUUGAUUUGAGGUGGGUCAAAAGGAAGAAGUGAACACAAAUCUUGUG